AUUGAACGCUGGCGGCAGGCCUAACACAUGCAAGUCGAACGAGGGGCGGGCGGGUGAGUAAUGGCUGGGAAACUGCCCGAUGGCGGGGGAUAACUACGGGAAACGGUAGCUAAUACCGCAUACCAUCGGAUGUGCCCAGAGGGGAUUGGCUUGUAGGUGAGGUAACGGCUCACCUAGGCGACGAUCCCUAGCUGGUCUGAGAGGAUGACCAGCAACACUGGAACUGAGACACGGUCCAGACUCCUACGGGAGGCAGCAGUGGGGAAUAUUGGACAAUGGGCGCAAGCCUGACGGAGCCAUGCCGCGUGUAUGAAGAAGGCCUUCGGGUUGUAAAGUACUUUCAGCGGGGAGGCGUUACCCGCAGAAGAAGCACCGGCUAACUCCGUGCCAGCCGCCGCGGUAAUAC
rnacentral:rRNA from 1 species